GCGGGAGUGGUGGAACGGUAGACACGCUAGUCUUAGGAACUAGUAUCCUCGGAUGUGAAGGUUCAAAUCCUUUCUCCCGCACCA
rnacentral:tRNA from 1 species